rnacentral:rRNA from 1 species
GAUGAACGCUGGCGGCGUGCCUAAUACAUGCAAGUCGAGCGAACGGACGAGAAGCUUGCUUCUCUGAUGUUAGCGGCGGACGGGUGAGUAACACGUGGAUAACCUACCUAUAAGACUGGGAUAACUUCGGGAAACCGGAGCUAAUACCGGAUGAUAUUUUGAACCGCAUGGUUCAAAAGUGAAAGUCGGUCUUGCUGUCACUUAUAGAUGGAUCCGCGCUGCAUUAGCUAGUUGGUAAGGUAACGGCUUACCAAGGCAACGAUGCAUAGCCGACCUGAGAGCGUGAUCGGCCACACGGGAACUGAGACACGGUCCAGACUCCUACGGGAGGCAGCAGUCGGGAAUCUUCCGCAAUGGGCGAAAGCCUGACGGAGCAACGCCGCGUGAGUGAUGAAGGUCUUCGGAUCGUAAAACUCUGUUAUUAGGGAAGAACAUAUGUGUAAGUAACUGUGCACAUCUUGACGGUACCUAAACAGAAAGCCACGGCUAACUACGUG